AAGGGUCGUUUUCCAUCACAAAGAGACCCACCCCACUUGAACGUCUGCUUCUUCAACAAUCACCCUAAUCCUUAGCUUCUUCAUCUUCUUCAACAUUUGAAGAAUAGCGACGCCCAACACCCCCUUGUCCCCUUCGACCACACUGUCCGAAACACACACCGCCGCAAGACACGCACUGAGCCAUUGAGAAAAACGGGCAGAAGAAGAGAACGAGGGUUUUGAGGGAUUUUCUUUGAGGCUUUUCAAUCUCUUUCCCUCAUCUCCGUAUUCUUCAAAAAAUUCCAGAAAAACACAUACAAAAAAAGAGGGUUUAUGUUUUUUUUAGUAGGAUUCACAUUUCAGAAAAGAUAUAAGAAAAUAAUUUCAUCUCUUCUUUCUGGUUUUAAUUUUAAAGAUGCGAAGUUUCUGAGGUUUUUGAGACUGAGUGGAGUUCAUUUGGGUUUUGUUUGUUGCUUGCUAAUUGAGGUUCGUUUGAGGCGUAGUCCGUGAUUCCGUUCGAUUCGGUUGCGAUUUUUGGAUUUUGCUCGUGGCUGUGGUAUUCUGUCCGUUGUAAUUUGCUGAAAUUUUUCGUCAAUUGUAAGAUUAUUCAAGACGAAGAGCAAUUGGUUCAACUGUAGCGGCUCGAUUCUGCUUGGCAGUGGUCGUUGAAGUAGGGUUCACAGCUUUUGCGUAAUUCAUGGCUUCGUUUGUGGGAUUUGAGAGUUGGGGAUUGUUUGUAGUUGUUGUAGGAGGUUGGACAGAUGUGUUAAGGGGCUGACCUGCCGGAAUUAAUGGCUGGCCGCCGGCCGGCGAAGCCAUCAGGCUGCUUCUCUCUCUAGAUCGCCCAAAUCGCCUAUUUGUAUUCUGUUGUAUUCGAAUGUAUAUUUCAGUUGUAUUCACAUGUAUUCAGUAGCAUUAAUUUAUAUAUUUUAGAUGUAUUAAAAAGUUAUGCGUAUUCUCUUGUAUUCAGUUUUAA